UAUUCUCCUUUUACUCCUCUUUUGUUGGACUAAUAUUUUCCAAAGUCUCGGAAAAUAUUAGUCCAACAGAAGAGGAAUAAAAGGAGAAUAAUAUCUC